GAUGAACGCUAGCGGCGUGCCUAACACAUGCAAGUCGAACGUGAGGGGGUACUUGUAUCCCUGAAAGUGGCGGACGGGUGAGUAAGACGUAGGUGACCUGCCUCGAAGUGGGGGAUAACCAUUGGAAACGAUGGCUAAUACCGCAUAAGCUGGUGACGAUGGGAAUGGUUAUCAGGAAAGCUUUAGUGCUUUGAGAGGGGCCUACGGCCGAUUAGCUAGUUGGUGAGGUAAAGGCUCACCAAGGCGAUGAUCGGUAGCUGGUCUGAGAGGACGAUCAGCCACACGGGAACUGAGACACGGUCCCGACUCCUACGGGGGGCAGCAGUGAGGAAUAUUCGGCAAUGGGGGCAACCCUGACCGAGCAACGCCGCGUGGAGGAUGACGGUUUUCGGAUUGUAAACUCCUUUUCUCAGGGAAGAGCGAGGACGGUACCUGGGGAAUAAGUCACGGCUAACUACGUG
rnacentral:rRNA from 1 species